UGGAAUUGAUUCAGGACCUCUGGAAGAG
rnacentral:piRNA from 1 species